rnacentral:rRNA from 1 species
UGGGGAAUAUUGCACAAUGGGCGCAAGCCUGAUGCAGCCAUGCCGCGUGUGUGAAGAAGGCCUUCGGGUUGUAAAGCACUUUCAGCGGGGAGGAAGGCGGUGAGGUUAAUAACCUCAUCGAUUGACGUUACCCGCAGAAGAAGCACCGGCUAACUCCGUGCCAGCAGCCGCGGUAAUACGGAGGGUGCAAGCGUUAAUCGGAAUUACUGGGCGUAAAGCGCACGCAGGCGGUCUGUCAAGUCGGAUGUGAAAUCCCCGGGCUCAACCUGGGAACUGCAUUCGAAACUGGCAGGCUAGAGUCUUGUAGAGGGGGGUAGAAUUCCAGGUGUAGCGGUGAAAUGCGUAGAAAUCUGGAGGAAUACCGGUGGCGAAGGCGGCCCCCUGGACAAAGACUGACGCUCAGGUGCGAAAGCGUGGGGAGCAAACAGG